UGGGGAAUAUUGCACAAUGGGCGCAAGCCUGAUGCAGCCAUGCCGCGUGUGUGAAGAAGGCCUUCGGGUUGUAAAGCACUUUCAGCGAGGAGGAAGGUGGUGAGCUUAAUACGCUCAUCAAUUGACGUUACUCGCAGAAGAAGCACCGGCUAACUCCGUGCCAGCAGCCGCGGUAAUACGGAGGGUGCAAGCGUUAAUCGGAAUUACUGGGCGUAAAGCGCACGCAGGCGGUUUGUUAAGUCAGAUGUGAAAUCCCCGGGCUCAACCUGGGAACUGCAUUUGAAACUGGCAAGCUAGAGUCUCGUAGAGGGGGGUAGAAUUCCAGGUGUAGCGGUGAAAUGCGUAGAGAUCUGGAGGAAUACCGGUGGCGAAGGCGGCCCCCUGGACGAAGACUGACGCUCAGGUGCGAAAGCGUGGGGCAGCAAACAGGAUUAGAUACCCUGGUAGUCCACGCUGUAAAACGAUGUCGAUUUUGGAGGUUGUGCCCUUGAGGCGUGGCUUCCGGAGCUAACGCGUUAAAUCGACCGCCUGGGGAGUACGGCCGCAAGGUUAAAAC
rnacentral:rRNA from 1 species